AGAGUUUGAUCCUGGCUCAGAUUGAACGCUGGCGGCAGGCCUAACACAUGCAAGUCGAACGGUAACAGGAAGCAGCUUGCUGCUUUGCUGACGAGUGGCGGACGGGUGAGUAAUGUCUGGGAAACUGCCUGAUGGAGGGGGAUAACUACUGGAAACGGUAGCUAAUACCGCAUAACGUCGCAAGACCAAAGAGGGGGACCUUCGGGCCUCUUGCCAUCGGAUGUGCCCAGAUGGGAUUAGCUAGUAGGUGGGGUAACGGCUCACCUAGGCGACGAUCCCUAGCUGGUCUGAGAGGAUGACCAGCCACACUGGAACUGAGACACGGUCCAGACUCCUACGGGAGGCAGCAGUGGGGAAUAUUGCACAAUGGGCGCAAGCCUGAUGCAGCCAUGCCGCGUGUAUGAAGAAGGCCUUCGGGUUGUAAAGUACUUUCAGCGGGGAGGAAGGGAGUAAAGUUAAUACCUUUGCUCAUUGACGUUACCCGCAGAAGAAGCACCGGCUAACUCCGUGCCAGCAGCCGCGGUAAU
rnacentral:rRNA from 1 species